CAGAUCAUCAUGCUCUACAGUUUGUCCCCAGACAGCAUCCUGUCCAACGCGUGGUUUGCCAGAUGCAUUUAAAAAGCUUCCUGGCCUUCAGCAAGGAAAAGAGAAAACAAGGAAGAACACCUGUUUUAAGGAAUAGCAGCAAUUCUGGAGAGCAUAUGCAGAGGCUUCCAGAGGGGUUUUAAAAUGGGCUUGUCAAGCAACAUAAAUGGAAUGUUAUUCCUAAAGUUUAUUCUGAGAUUUAUGCAUACUUAACCCAUAAACCCACAGCAAACAAACACUGCAUAAAAGCCCCAUGGGUAAACAGAAAUAACAAAGCCCACAUAGAUCGCUAUGGUUGCAUUGGAGGAAAUCUCUUUGGAAGAGGCUGCUUGACUCACGCUCAACCUUUCUGCCCAUGCACAGCUUCCUAUAGCAUGCAGGAGGAUAUAUUUCAUCUGGUGGGGGCUCUGAUGCCUGUCCAGCAAAUCCACGAUGCCAAGCUAAACCUUCGCCUGGUUAUUAGUGCUUGAAAGGGUGGGCAAUGCCAUUUCGGCUUCGGGGUCUUCGGCUCUGGGAAGUGUUAGCGCUGUCACCGCCGCACCACCGCACCGCUGCAAGGGAAAACAUUCCCCGCAUUCCUCCUCCUCUCUCUGCUAUCCGCGGAUCCGUGCGCUGCAGGUUCACGUUGCUACCGUCCGACUGCAUGGGACACAGCUAAUCUAAACCAGCGCCGACCCACCAUCCGACUCGGCAGCGAGGAAAAACAUUGACAAAUUUGCUGUUUAAAAUGCUUUCUACUCUUUCCAGUGUUUUGUUGUGCUUUUUUUUUUUUUUUUAAAGCUAUAAAUACACCCCGCCAGCUGCAACAUGUUGCACGAAGCCAGCUUUGCGGAUCAAGCGUCUUCUGACACAACGCCUUGCACUGGCGUUGGGUUAAUAUUUGAUACUGGGAGUCAACGUUGUGAUAUUUCUGUCCUUAGCGGUGACGAUGGUGUGGUUCUCCCGUGUUGCUCUGCAGAAAGAGCUUGGAAAAGGCACAGCGUAAGGGCAGAACAGUCUCAAGCAUCUGCUUAGUUAUUGCAGCAUGAAAAUAAAACUAAGAACAAAAAGACAGCUAUCUCUUAAGGUAGUGCAUAAUUCAAGCUAAGGCAAUGAUUACAUAUGAGAACUUUGGCAAGCGCAUAAUCAUUAAAUUCCCUUCUUUUUUCCCAGUGUGUUGGGCUGGGGAGUGUGCAGGACACUAUGAUUCCUCAUGGGCUUCUGUUAUAGGGUCGGAGAGGUUCACACUGAAGCAGAACCUCAACCCAAGCAAGAGGCAGCACAGGCUGGAUGUGAUUUUGCCUGUGCAUUCUAGCAGAUUGGAAGAUUUUUGGUCAGCUAAGCCCAUUCCCACUGCAUUUCUGAGAAAUUGCAGGUCUAUUAAUUUACAAUGGAAUGCAUCAUUAAAAUGUAUAUAUAAAAUGUGUAUACAGUAUAUAUAUAUAAUGCAUAAAUAAAAAGUCUGCUUUGCAGACUGCAAUACAGCACUUACCCACCCAUCGGUACCAUGAACUGUGGAUCAAGCCCACAAUUUGUAGCAACGCGGCACCAAAAUUGCCCUUUUUCACCCAAAAAGACAGCAUCCAGGGCACCGUCUGUGGGCGGACAUCCUGCCAUGCCCUCACACCGUUCCCCACAAAUGCCAGGAGUUAUUUUGGUAAUGAGCAAUUGCUCCAGCAUUAAGAAAACCAAUCAAUCUUCCGUGCGCUCUUGCAAAUGAAUCCUCAUAUUAUCUGUAUAUGCCGUCAGGCAGGAUAGUUUAGAAAAUACCAGCCCCUAUCUUAUCUUGUCGGUUCUUACUGAUGGGGGGGUGGGGGGGGGGGGGAAUAAUGGCUGAGAGAACCACAGGCAAGGAUAAUUAGUAAAAUCAAGUGACUCGCUGUUUGUUUGCAUUGCAAAAUGAACUUUUACCCCUCCACCUCCACUCCUCCCCCCAAUUUUCACCAUCUUAUCAUACGGCAUUUGACAUGACAGGUUAAUGAGAAAUCCCCCAAAUUCGGCUUCUGCGGCUAAUUGUAGCCGUGGUUGCUCUCCGCUUGAUGGUCCGGCUCCUGCCCCGUGAAACCCGAGCUCUCAGGGGAUACAACGGGUGUGAUUGCAAACCUAUAGAAGCGCUCAUUUACAGACAGUAAGUUUCUCUCAUUAACCUCAUUUCUAUUUCCACAGGAACUGAGUCUAUGCAUUUUCCAUUAUUUUGUCUCUCACAAGCAACAAAUUAAAAUUAAGAGGUCUUUUUUUUCCAUAUGCAAUGCAUUCGAUUUAUAAUUAUUUUAAUAUAAUCUGCUAUUUCAGCCACUGGAGCAGGCAGCUUGCAGAGCGUCGGACUCAUUGGCGGUGCACUCCUUCAGAAAUCACAAUUUUCGGACGGGAAGAAUUGAAGAAUUUGGACAACAGAAGACAAACAGUUGCUGUCAGAGUGAGUGGAAAAAGAACCACAUGGCGUGCUCUGGCCAUUAAUAAUCUGCAUUGGCGUGGAGAUCUGUCUGCCAUCGCAUGCAGCACACUGCUACCUCCCAGUUUUUCUUGUUCCUUGGGCUUUCUCCCACUUGCUGAUUUUAUUUACGGAGGAUUUUUAUUUUUAGUUAGGGAGAGAAAGGCAGGAAAAUGAAAAAAUUGGGCUCUUGACACUAAAAUCUUAUGCCAAACUUCCAGCAGCCCAGGGAAAUCAACUUCUUGUCCAAAUCCCAUCGGGAAAGGUUGAACUUGGGGACAUUGUGGUGAGGAGGGAAAAUCGCUUUCUGCUGCUUUUCUCCAAGAAAAAAAAAACACAUUUAAAUGGUCACUCUUUGUUGAAGACCCGUGUAAAAGCCUGGAGCUUAGCUUUCUUCUCUAGAAAUAACUGCUUUUUUAUGUUGGAUGAGGCUACUUAACCUCAUCCACUGAACUCCUCUGACCAACGCACGUGGUCAGGCUCCCAGGAACACAACAUUUGGCCCUGUUAUGCAUCAAAUUUCAUUUCCAGUCUGUGGAUUUAUUGACGUUAUAAUGGCCAGCCCACACAAACUGCAGCCAUGCAGCCAAUUAACAGGACAGACAACAACAGACAUUUGAGAAGUUGCUAAACUUGGUCUUGAAAACGAGCUCGCUUUAUCCCUGUAAACGGAUCUUGUUCUGUCAUCGUGCAUUAAACUGGAAAGCUUCACGUUGCAAAGUGGUACAAAAUCACAUCCUGAUAACCAAGGCCUCACAGAAUAUUUCAGCAGAUCGUAUCGCUUGUGGUUUUAUUUCAUAACUGCAAUGCAAACGCGAGGGUGGAUUCCAAGACAAAAAUAUCUGCAUAUGCUGAAAUGAAGUUCUCGGUGCAUCAUACUUAAGGUAGCCAGCAGCCAUGGGGGUCUGAUCCAUGAGCAUUUUUCCUCUGCCAAACCCACAAACACAAAAGCAAAACUCCUAGGACCAUGUUUUUCCUCGUCCCAGAUUGAAAUGCAGAGAUCGAAAUCAACUGAAACAUUUUGGGAAAAUCAUGUUGACUUCACCCAACUGUUACCACCAUCAAAGGGCUUUCGAAGGUCACCACCUUUCUUUCUGACAUGAAAUGAAGCAUUGCAGAUAACGCAAUGUAUUUCUUUAUUUUAAAAAAGUUCAAAGGUCCAUUAAGGCUUCCACGUCGUACAAAAGACUUAAUUCACCGGAAGCCAUUUUUCUCUCCCAAUUGUUUGGAGCAGCAAGUGAACCAAACAAUCCGUUAUUCACACAGAUCUACCCAGAAACAUAUUUCCCAUGCCCAAGCCAUCUAUGCUUUGACUUAACAAAAAUAACUUCUAACUGGGCUGUUUUAAAACGCCGAAUUGGUUCGUAUUUGAGAGCUUGGUUGGGAGAUCUGGGUAGAAUUUAUAGCUACCUGUGGUAGGUGGAAACCAAAUUGAGAUGAAGAGCUGUACGAGAAAAUACGUUGAAUCUCUUUGUCCAAAAUUGAGGUCCAUACUUUGUACCUAAAGCUCAUAGCUCCAAGAUGAUGCUUGUCAAAAGACGCAUUAGAAGAGGAGAAUCGGUGUGGACAGACCAUUUUCUGGUGCAAUCAUCUCGUUUUAAGUGAAAUUUCUGCUUUCCCACCAUGCCUUUGGAAAAUAACAGCUUUCGGCGCUUUUGAAGAGCAUGGUUCACUACUCUUACAUCCAGCCUGUCCAAGUUGCCCUGUGUAAUAGCAAUGUUAUUUCCUUUAUAUUAUAAAUAGGAUUUGGGUUGAAUAUGAAUAAACUCAUACCCAUUGGUAUGCUUUGUAACUCUAAUCAGUGCUUUCCUGAAAAAAAAAAAAAAAAAAAAAAAAAAAAAAAAAAAGAAAAAAAAAAGAAAAAGAAAAGAAGAAUGUUUAUCCGAAAAAUAAAGAGGUGCUAAUUUUAUCUUGUGAAAGUGGAUAUCUCCUUACGUCCCUCCAACUUCGAGGAAGAUAACCCGAAUGGAUUAUAUCAUCUAAAUCCAGCAUCCUAUGAGAUCAAACAGAAUAAUGUACACAUAUGCCAAAGAUGAUUGAAGUAUUGCUGGUGCUCACUUCCGCUUCACUAAGUAUGUGUUUCAUUGAUAUACGUAAUUUGCCACCGCCAUGAAAGAAAUUCAAAGUCCUCUGUUUGUGCCAGUUGAUUUCUAUGAUAUCUGGAGGCUUUUAAAAUAGGGAUCCAAAAUAGAUGUGCCCUUGUCACCCCUGUGUUUAAGCUCUCUCCAACAGGAAAUGGCACGGGUUCAAAUUUUUUUUAUACUGGAAGCCACAUGUAGCUAGAUAAGAAUCAUGUCUUGUCUAUGACUAAGCAUUGACAUUUCAAUGUUUAAAAUAUAGUCAAAAUGAUCCAUGGAGAACCCACCUGAGACUAUUUUUCUUUGUCUAAAGUCCCACUUUCUAACUUCUUGAAAGGGAAGGUGGAGCUCUGGGGGUUGUGACAUGACGAUGUUAUGUUAAGGAAAUGGAAGUUUGCUUUAUUGUUCACGUUCAAAGACGUGGCUGCUAGAGAAGGCUUUGCUACCAGACAGAGCAUUGCCUCCACCCACACCAGCAUGGAUCUCUGCCUUCUCCAUCCUCACCAACAGGUUUAAAACACAGCAUAGAGGGGGGGGGGGGGAAAGCUAUUCGCUUUUGCCAAAUCGCAGAUGUCAAAUUUAACACACGUGGGAAGAAAAAAUAAAAAGGAGAAAUGAGUGGUAUUUCC
ensembl:lncRNA